rnacentral:rRNA from 1 species
CGCUGGCGGCGUGCCUAAUACAUGCAAGUCGAACGGUCUUUCUAUGGAAGCUUGCUUCCACUGAGAAGAUAGUGGCGAACGGGUGAGUAACGACGUGGGUAACCUGCCCAUAAGAGGGGGGAUAACAUCCGGAAACGGGUGCUAAUACCGCAUAGUUUUCUUGAUCGCGUGAUCGGGAAAGGAAAGACGGCCUUUGUGCUGUCGCUUAUGGAUGGACCCGCGGCGUAUUAGUUAGUUGGUGAGGUAACGGCUCACCAAGACGAUGAUACGUAGCCGACCUGAGAGGGUGAUCGGCCACAUUGGGACUGAGACACGGCCCAAACUCCUACGGGAGGCAGCAGUAGGGAAUCUUCCGCAAUGGACGAAAGUCUGACGGAGCAACGCCGCGUGAGUGAAGAAAGGUUUUCGGAUCGUAAAACUCUGUUGUCAGAGAAGAACAAGUUGGAGAGUAACUGCUCCAGCCUUGACGGUAUCUGACCAGAAAGCCACGGCUAACUACGUGCCAGCCGCUGC